rfam:Felis catus isolate Cinnamon breed Abyssinian chromosome B1, whole genome shotgun sequence.
GCCUGGUUGGCUCAGUUGGUGAAGCAUCCAACUUCAGCUCAGGUCAUGAUCUCACAGUUCGUGGGUUCAAGCCCCACAUCAAGCU